GAGUUUGAUCCUGGCUCAGAUUGAACGCUGGCGGCAUGCCUUACACAUGCAAGUCGAACGGCAGCAUGAUCUAGCUUGCUAGAUUGAUGGCGAGUGGCGAACGGGUGAGUAAUACAUCGGAACGUGCCCUGUAGUGGGGGAUAACUAGUCGAAAGAUUAGCUAAUACCGCAUACGACCUGAGGGUGAAAGUGGGGGACCGCAAGGCCUCAUGCUAUAGGAGCGGCCGAUGUCUGAUUAGCUAGUUGGUGGGGUAAAGGCCCACCAAGGCGACGAUCAGUAGCUGGUCUGAGGGGACGAUCAGCCACACUGGGACUGAGACACGGCCCAGACUCCUACGGGAGGCAGCAGUGGGGAAUUUUGGACAAUGGGCGAAAGCCUGAUCCAGCAAUGCCGCGUGUGUG
rnacentral:rRNA from 1 species